UGGUUUGCAUGCAAGGGAGUGAGUAAAUCUCUCCUCUGCUCUUACACUGCUCUGCCGGGGACUGGCUGGCUGCAGAAAAGUCAUUGCGUGGUGUCUGUCGGGUGUGUGAAUGUGUCUGUGCUGGUGGUGGGAGCCGGGUGUUUAUGUAGGGGCCCAGGACAGCUACUCCAAUGCAUAUAAGGCGAAGUCGUUCGCAAUGAAUCCAUGGCAGCUUCGAUCGAGCGGUGAGCUGGAGCACCUACUCACAGGCCACUCCUUCAUGUGA
rnacentral:lncRNA from 1 species